rnacentral:lncRNA from 1 species
AAGCCAAACCUAAAUGUGACCCAUCAGGAAUAGAAUACGAUAUUUCUGUGAUUCUUAUUAAUGCUUACACAUACGCAAUUUCAAGAGGAAAUGUUUGCAUGACCUUUUAAUUCGUAAAGCAUUCCAGCUGGAAAUCAAAACAGUACAUGAUUCUUAUUGCUUAACAUAAACGUAGUUGCCUAAGCCAUUUGAUAGCGCCAUGCGUACACACGCCUCCCAGAUGCAGUUUCUGAAUGAAGCUGCAAUUAUGAAAAUUGAUUUCAUUGUGUUUUUAGCCUGACACAGAUGGAAUACAUGGGCUUAUGUUCAUUUCGAGCAAUUGCUUUGGGGAGCAGGAACAUCACAACACACAUACAGCAUUAAGACAGGUACAAAAGGUUGCAGGUCUCAGGAUAGGAUUUGCCCCUAAAAUCUCAGCGAAUCGGCUACUGCUGAUUAGGAAGCCCCGUACCUUGAGGGUUCAUUCUAAUGGCUUUAUGGCAUGCCAUUUAGACAUGUUUAGAAGUACUCUUGUCUUUUUCAUUACCUUACAUGCUCCAGAACUGCGGCUCCUAUUGGAAUUCACAUGCUACUCUUUAAAUUCAUCAUGAAGACUCAAGAACAUUUUGCAAUUGCUGCCUGUGCGGCCCCCACCGGACCCCAAUCCCAAGAGCUUCCACCCAGGUUUCAGGUUCUGGUGCAGAAAUCUCCAGGUAGGCAACCCAUGAGAGGUCCGAAACACAUCCACAAGAGGAAGGGCCUUCUCCAUGGUGGCACUGACUUUGUGGAAUCAGCUCCCAAUGGAGCUAUGCCUGGCCCUCUCCCUGUUAAUGUUUAGAAGGCCACUUAAAAUGCUGCUUUUCAGGGAGGCCUUCCAUACUGACCCUGUUUGAUUUCAAUUUUAUGCCUCUCAUCCUGCUGUUUAUAUAGAGAACUGCUUAUGGUGCCAUUUGGAUUAUUUGGUUAAACAUUUUCAUUUUAUUAUUUGUAUUUCAUUUUUACAUAUUUUAUUUACUGUUGCAAACCACUCAUAGCACUAAUAGGGCAGUAUAUAAAUCAAAUCAAAUCAAUCAACAAAUAAAUAAACAAAUCUCUCAGAACA